UGGGGAAUUUUGCGCAAUGGACGAAAGUCUGACGCAGCGACGCCGCGUGUGCGAUGAAGGCCUUUGGGUCGUAAAGCACUGUCGACCGGGACGAAAACUCACGGACUAAUACUUCGUGAGUCUGACGGUACUGGUAAAGGAAGCACCGGCUAACUACGUGCCAGCAGCCGCGGUAAUACGUAGGGACCAAGCGUUGUUCGGAUUUACUGGGCGUAAAGGGCGCGUAGGCGGCAUGACAAGUCACUUGUGAAAUCUCUGGGCUUAACCCAGAACGGCCAAGUGAUACUGUCGCGCUAGAGUGCAGAAGGGGCAAUCGGAAUUCUUGGUGUAGCGGUGAAAUGCGUAGAUAUCAAGAGGAACACCUGAGGUGAAGACGGGUUGCUGGGCUGACACUGACGCUGAGGCGCGAAAGCCAGGGGAGCAAA
rnacentral:rRNA from 1 species